rnacentral:rRNA from 1 species
AGCAGUGGGGAAUCUUGGACAAUGGGCGCAAGCCUGAUCCAGCCAUGCCGCGUGAGUGAAGAAGGCCUUCGGGUUGUAAAGCUCUUUUACCAGGGACGAUAAUGACGGUACCUGGAGAAUAAGCCCCGGCAAACUUCGUGCCAGCAGCCGUGGUAAUACGAAGGGGGCUAGCGUUAUUCGGAAUUAUUGGGCGUAAAGCGUGCGUAGGCGGUUCGUUAAGUCAGAUGUGAAAGCCCUGGGCUCAACCUGGGAACUGCAUUUGAAACUGGCGGACUAGAGUUUAGUAGAGGGGAGUGGAAUUUCAGGUGUAGCGGUGAAAUGCGUAGAUAUCUGAAGGAACACCGGUGGCGAAGGCGACUCCCUGGACUAGAACUGACGCUGAGGUACGAAAGCGUGGGUAGCAAACAGGAUUAGAUACCCUGGUAGUCCACGCCGUAAACGAUGUCAACUAGCCGUUGGUCCUAUUUACAGGAUGAGUGGCGCAGCUAACGCAUUAAGUUGACCGCCUGGGGAGUACGGCCGCAAGGUUAAAACUCAAAUGAAUUGACGGGGGCCCGCACAAGCGGUGGAGCAUGUGGUUUAAUUCGAUGCAACGCGAAGAACCUUACCUACCCUUGACAUCCAGAGAAUCUGUCAGAGAUAGUGGAGUGCCUUCGGGAACUCUGAGACAGGUGCUGCAUGGCUGUCGUCAGCUCGUGUCGUGAGAUGUUGGGUUAAGUCCCGUAACGAGCGCAACCCCUGUCUUCAGUUACCAACGGGUCAUGCCGGGAACUCUGGAGAGACUGCCCAGGAGAACGGGGAGGAAGGUGGGGAUGACGUCAAGUCAGCAUGGCCUUCAUGCCUGGGGCUACACACGUGCUACAAUGGCCGGUACAAAGGGCUGCAAACCCGUAAGGGGGAGCGAAUCUCAAAAAACCGGCCUCAGUUCAGAUCGAGGUCUGCAACUCGACCUCGUGAAGGCGGAAUCGCUAGUAAUCCCGGAUCAGCACGCCGGGGUGAAUACGUUCCCGGGCCUUGUACACACCGCCAUCGGA